UACGGAGGGUGCAAGCGUUGUUCGGAAUUAUUGGGCGUAAAGCGCGUGUAGGCGGCUAUCUAAGUCUGGUGUGAAAGCCCAGAGCUUAACUCUGGAAGUGCACUGGAUACUGGAUAGCUAGAGGACGAGAGAGGAAAGUGGAAUUCCUGGUGUAGGGGUGAAAUCCGUAGAUAUCAGGAGGAACAUCGGUGGCGAAGGCGACUUUCUGGCUCGUUUCUGACGCUCAGACGCGAAAGCGUGGGGAGCAAAC
rnacentral:rRNA from 1 species